rnacentral:rRNA from 1 species
CCUACGGGUGGCAGCAGUGAGGAAUCUUGGUCAAUGGUCGGGAGACUGAACCAGCCAAGCCGCGUGAGGGAUGAAGGUACAGAGUAUCGUAAACCUCUUUUGUCAGGGAACAAAGGCGGGGACGUGUCCCCGGAUGAGUGUACCUGAAGAAAAAGCAUCGGCUAACUCCGUGCCAGCAGCCGCGGUAAUACGGGGGAUGCGAGCGUUAUCCGGUUUGAUUGGGUUUAAAGGGUGCGCAGGCGGUCUGUUAAGUCAGCGGUAAAAGCCCGGGGUUCAACCCCGGCCCGCCGUUGAAACUGGCAGUCUCGAGUUGGAGAGAAGUAUGCGGAAUGCGCGGUGUAGCGGUGAAAUGCAUAGAUAUCGCGCAGAACUCCGAUUGCGAAGGCAGCAUGCCGGCUCCACACUGACGCUGAGGCACGAAAGCGUGGGUAUCGAACAGGAUUAGAUACCCGGGUAGUC